UGGGGAAUUUUGGACAAUGGGCGCAAGCCUGAUCCAGCCAUGCCGCGUGCGGGAAGAAGGCCUUCGGGUUGUAAACCGCUUUUGUCAGGGAAGAAAUCUUCUGAGUUAAUACCUCGGGAGGAUGACGGUACCUGAAGAAUAAGCACCGGCUAACUACGUGCCAGCAGCCGCGGUAAUACGUAGGGUGCAAGCGUUAAUCGGAAUUACUGGGCGUAAAGCGUGCGCAGGCGGUUUUGUAAGACAGAGGUGAAAUCCCCGGGCUCAACCUGGGAACUGCCUUUGUGACUGCAAGGCUUGAGUGCGGCAGAGGGGGAUGGAAUUCCGCGUGUAGCAGUGAAAUGCGUAGAUAUGCGGAGGGACACCGAUGGCGAAGGCAAUCCCCUGGGCCUGCACUGACGCUCAUGCACGAAAGCGUGGGGAGCAAACAGGAUUAGAAUAGCCCUGGUAGUCCACGCCCUAAACGAUGUCAACUGGUUGUUGGGAAGGUUCCUUCUCAGUAACGUAGCUAACGCGUGAAGUUGACCGCCUGGGGAGUACGGCCGCAA
rnacentral:rRNA from 1 species